rnacentral:rRNA from 1 species
GUGGGGAAUUUUGGACAAUGGGCGAAAGCCUGAUCCAGCCAUGCCGCGUGCAGGAUGAAGGCCUUCGGGUUGUAAACUGCUUUUGUACGGAACGAAAAGACUCCUUCUAAUAAAGGGGGUCCAUGACGGUACCGUAAGAAUAAGCACCGGCUAACUACGUGCCAGCAGCCGCGGUAAUACGUAGGGUGCAAGCGUUAAUCGGAAUUACUGGGCGUAAAGCGUGCGCAGGCGGUUAUAUAAGACAGAGGUGAAAUCCCCGGGCUCAACCUGGGAACUGCCUUUGUGACUGCAAGGCUAGAGUACGGCAGAGGGGGAUGGAAUUCCGCGUGUAGCAGUGAAAUGCGUAGAUAUGCGGAGGAACACCGAUGGCGAAGGCAAUCCCCUGGGCCUGUACUGACGCUCAUGCACGAAAGCGUGGGGAGCAAACAGGAUUAGAAACCCGUGUAGUCC